UAUAUUUCUGUGUGCAUGUGGCAGGGAAAACAUUGUUGUUUACUAGAAAUUCACUCUUUUAUCUGAAGAUUGGAGACUACAUAAGACUUUGACAGAUGGCGGGAAACCCUCAUGAACUGGAUAGAAGCCGGUAGAAGAAUGUCUGCGACUAAGCCGAGGGCCACUUGAGGAUUGGGUUGUUGAUGGUAAAACAGAUUGGAGACUACAUAAGACUUUGACAGAUGGCGGGAAACCCUCAUGAACUGGAUAGAAGCCGGUAGAAGAAUGUCUGCGACUAAGCCGAGGGCCACUUGAGGAUUGGGUUGUUGAUGGUAAAACAGAUUGGAGACUACAUAAGACUUUGACAGAUGGCGGGAAACCCUCAUGAACUGGAUAGAAGCCGGUAAAUAGAUGGCCGUAAAACA